UUUUUACUCCCUCCGUCCCAAAAUUCUUGUCUAAUAUUUGUCUAGAUACGGAUGUACCUAACACUAAACUAUGACUAGAUACAUCCAUAUUUAGACAAAUCUAAGACAAGAAUUUUGGGACGGAGGGAGUAGUAA
rfam:Triticum aestivum genome assembly, contig: Triticum_aestivum_CS42_TGACv1_scaffold_080126_1DS